AGAAUCAACGCUGGCGGCGUGCCUAACACAUGCAAGUCGAACGAGAAAGUGGAGCAAUCCAUGAGUAAAGUGGCGACCGGGUGAGUAACACGUGACCAACCUACCUUUCAGUGGGGAAUAACCUCGGGAAACCGGGGCUAAUACCGCAUAAUGUCUUCGGACCAAAGGAGCAAUUCGCUGGAAGAGGGGGUCGCGGCCGAUUAGCUAGUUGGCGGGGUAACGGCCCACCAAGGCAAUGAUCGGUAGCCGGCCUGAGAGGGCGCACGGCCACACUGGAACUGAAACACGGUCCAGACUCCUACGGGAGGCAGCAGUGGGGAUUUGCGCAAUGGGGGAAACCCUGACGCAGCAACGCCGCGUGGAGGAUGAAGCCCCUUGGGGUGUAAACUCCUUUCGAUCGGGACGAUUAUGACGGUACCGGAUGAAGAAAGCACCGGCUAACUCUGCGCCAGCAGCCCGC
rnacentral:rRNA from 1 species